UACUGAUAUAGUGGGACAGAAGCCGUUCCAGCAUCUAAAUACGACUGGACUUGUAAAUAGCACACAGUGAAGGAAAGAAAACGGGCAGAGAGGAGUUGGGUCGGGUGAAGAGGUUUAGAGAAAGUAUCCAUCCAGAUUUCGUCAUCUUCCAAUUGCAUCGUCCCCGUCCUCGUCCUCGUCCUCCACAAUGGCUGCUAGACAGACAGUCAUGUUUCUAGUGGCGGUGCUCCUCUCCCUUUCAGGCCUCAUUCAUAGCUUCCAACCACUCUUCUCAUUUGAUGGGAAUUCCACCACUCACCGUGACAUCACACGAAGGGCGGUACUCAGAAAGACAGCUGAGGUCUGCCGAGACAUUGCUGCCUCUGAGGGACGGGACUUUAGCCUGACUAUUGAUGACAGCCUGUCAACUGAGCAGGUGCAGAGGGCCUGUUCCUCGACAGGUACCUCCACCUCUCUCCUCUCAACUGUUGUGUUCCAAACGUCCAUCGCCAACAUGUACUUCAGCAACGCAAAAGUGGAUGUGGUUUUUGCGCUGAGUGAGGAGCACCAUUUUGAUGACGAGACCUUCCAGGGAGGACGUGAUGUCAUCACAGCAGGUGUGUCUGGUGUGAAGGCCAGUGUGAAGCUGGAGAACUUUGUCGCAGGGAGAUGGACUCUUGGACGAGUCUGUCACACCCUACAGGUGAGUUGAUCAUUGUUUCAGAUUGCUGUGGGUUAGUUGUGUCAUUUUGGUGAGAGGCAUGAUCAUAAACACAAAGCAAUAGUGGAGUAAAAUAUGUUUCAUAUUAUUCUGUAGGACUUCUACAGCCACAGUAACUGGGUGGAGCUGGGGAACACUGCUCCUUUCAGCACUCUGAUCCAACCAGACCAACCUCUUGAGAACCUG
rnacentral:lncRNA from 1 species